rnacentral:rRNA from 1 species
GGACGAACGCGGGCGGCGUGCCUAAUACAUGCAAGUCGAGCGGAUUUCUGGGAGCUUGCUCCCAAGAAAUCAGCGGCGGACGGGUGAGUAACACGUGGGCAACCUGCCUGUAAGACUGGGAUAACUUCGGGAAACCGGAGCUAAUACCGGAUAAUUCUUUCCUUCACAUGAGGGAAAGCUGAAAGAUGGUUUCGGCUAUCACUUACAGAUGGGCCCGCGGCGCAUAAGCUAGUUGGUGAGGUAACGGCUCACCAAGGCAACGAUGCGUAGCCGACCCUGAGAGGGUGAUCGGCCACACUGGGACUGAGACACGGCCCAGACUCCUACGGGAGGCAGCAGUAGGGAAUCUUCCGCAAUGGACGAAAGUCUGACGGAGCAACGCCGCGUGAGUGAUGAAGGUUUUCGGAUCGUAAAACUCUGUUGUUAGGGAAGAACAAGUACCGGAGUAACUGCCGGUACCUUGACGGUACCUAACCAGAAAGCCACGGCUAACUACGUGCCAGCAGCCGCGGUAAUACGUAGGUGGCAAGCGUUGUCCGGAAUUAUUGGGCGUAAAGCGCGCGCAGGCGGUUCCUUAAGUCUGAUGUGAAAGCCCCCGGCUCAACCGGGGAGGGUCAUUGGAAACUGGGGAACUUGAGUGCAGAAGAGAAGAGUGGAAUUCCACGUGUAGCGGUGAAAUGCGUAGAGAUGUGGAGGAACACCAGUGGCGAAGGCGACUCUUUGGUCUGUAACUGACGCUGAGGCGCGAAAGCGUGGGGAGCAAACAGGAUUAGAUACCCUGGUAGUCCACGCCGUAAACGAUGAGUGCUAAGUGUUAGAGGGUUUCCGCCCUUUAGUGCUGCAGCAAACGCAUUAAGCACUCCGCCUGGGGAGUACGGCCGCAAGGCUGAAACUCAAAGGAAUGACGGAAGCGCGAAU